rnacentral:lncRNA from 1 species
AACUUAAUUAUCUUAUGUAUUAUUCAUUGAUGCACCUAGUCCUACUGCAACUUGAUAGCCCAAGGCUGGUUGAUAUCCAUGGGCAGCCUCCCCCUUUCAGAAGAGAAAUGGAGGAGGAUUGGGUUGUGGGUAGAGGGAAUGGGGAUGAAGGACUGGUAGAAGAGAAGAGAGGGGGAUACUGUGGUUAGAUAUAAAAUAAAUGUAUUCAUUAAUUGAUUUAAAAAAAAGAAGUUAUUCUUUUUCUCAAGAAAGGUCUGGGUUGUUCCAUCUUUCUACUCUCCUUCCUUAACUCUUGAGCGGGCUGUCCUACUGUUCUAUCUCAAGGCUACUGAAGACACAAAAUAUUCUAGUAUAAUGAAACUAAGUUUGAGAGACAAUUCUGUCAGUAAUUUAGAACAUCAUGAGUUUACUGUAGAAGAGACACAUGGAAGUUAUUUGCCUAAUGGAAUAUUUCCAAGUGUCAGGGGAAUGGACAGUUCCACAUAACACUAUGUCAACAGUGACGUUGUGCUGUUCAAGGCUGUCACCCUCUCUAAAUAAAUAAAUACUCCUUUGCCCCUGGUGCUACAUUAGCGCUUCAUGAUCACAGACACUUUGCCUCGAACUUCGACUAUAAGUGUUUCAAUCUCUGUUUUGUACUUUACAGGUUGCUCCCACUCCCGCUGCUGUUACUUAAAAUAGUUUUCCGUGAGACUUCUCUGGAAACACAUACCUUGUUUGUGACAAUUUCAGAGUGACUCCUUUUAACUCAUCCUUGGUGAAGGAUCAGAGGAAACUUUCCAAACUCCCAUAUGCCAUGCUCAAACUCUGCUCCCGAGCUACCCUGGUCAAGUUCGUGAACUAUUACCAGCAUCAGCUAGAUAACAUAAGGCUGCAUUCAUCACAAUGGCAUAUAACUGUUGGCUAUAUAGGAACUAGGUUCAUCUUUUGAAGUCGGUCUACUAAGAAUAUUUGCUUUUUACCAUCACUUUCUUGGAAAGUUCCUCAAGGAUCUGUUCCAGCCAAACAAGAGAGUAAAGCAGAGAACAAGGGCCAAACACCUGCUGUCACGUGAUCACAAAGGGUAAGCAAAUUCUCUUUAGUGUGCUGCUUAGCUACUUAGUUUGAUAGACUUUAUAUAUGAAAUUCCUUUUGUCUUACGCAUUUUCAACUUACGAUGAGUCUUUUGGGAUCUAACAUUUCCGCAAGUUGAGGAACAUAUUUAUUCUUGGUGUUCCUGUUAGGGACUUGGGGAUACCCAUAGCAUUUAGAUAGGAUGACUAAACUAGAUUGUCUUAUGAAUGUGGUGGCCAUUUAAACAGCCACAGGCCUGAAGAGAACAAGGUUCAUCCUUCCAUGAAUAAGACAGAAGUCAUUCUGCUGGACUCCACAUGGGACAUCUGUCUUUUCCUGCCUCAGAGGCAAACUGAAAUAUUAAUUCUCUUGGGUCUCAAGAUGCUUAAACUUUCUGAUCUCCUGCUGCUAGAUCCCCUUGCUCUCCAAUGUGCUGAACUGAAGAUGCUGGGAACUGCCAGCUUCUGGAACAGGACACUCCCCUCCAAGAAAAGCAACCAAGAACUAGAAGGAAGGUCACCCUUUACAGUGAGUCUUUAACCGAGGACAAGCAAAAGAAACAACAUCACACAUUGGCAGGAAGCCGGGUGGGAUGAAGCCGACUCCAUCAUUCAUUAACAGAGACCCAAUCCAAAAAAUGUAUUCUGUUUUAUGCUUUGCUCUAAGUUGGUGAUAUCAAUAAAAAAAAAAGCAUGAAAAGUAGAGACAAUCAUACCGUCCGGUUUGACAAGGAAACCACCCUAGAAGGACAACGACUCAUUAUACGAUGUGUCCUCUAAAAAUACGUUCAAUUAUCUCCAUGGCUGGAGAGUUACUACUCUUCACUAUGCAAUGAAUGGAAUGAGAAGCUAAGGUUUAAAACCAUUGACAGGAGAAAAGAAAAUGAAAGUAGACAGUGGAGAAAGAGAACAAACCAAUAGCAAACCGGCUUAAUACCACCCAGCAUGCCUUGCGGCAGUGCUCAGGCUCCUAAGUGCUCCGAUUUCUUUAGGAAUUUCCCUGCUGGCUUUUCGUGACUGUGAAAACUAUCAGUCAGAAAUAAAGAACGGAGGUGAUGAAAUAAAACCACACUUCACCUUCAGGACAUUUCUGAGGUCCCUGUGAUGGUUUGUAUAUUGCACCACGGAAUGGCACCAUUUGGAGGUGUGGCCUUGUUGGAAUAGGUGUGACCUGGUUGGAGUAGGUGUGUCACUGUGGGCUUAAUACCCUCACCCUAGUUGCCUGGAAGUCAGUCUUCCACUAGCAGCCUUUGGAUGAAGAUGUAGAACUCUCAGCUCUGCCUGUGCCAUGCCUGCCUGGAUGCUGCCAUGCUCCCACUUUGAUGAACUCUGAACCUGUAAGCCAACCCCAAUUAAAUGUUGUUUUUAUA